UACGUAGGGUGCAAGCGUUAAUCGGAAUUACUGGGCGUAAAGCGUGCGCAGGCGGUUUUGUAAGUCUGUCGUGAAAUCCCCGGGCUCAACCUGGGAAUUGCGAUGGAGACUGCAAGGCUAGAAUCUGGCAGAGGGGGGUAGAAUUCCACGUGUGAGCAGUGAAAUGCGUAGAUAUGCGGAGGAACACCGAUGGCGAAGGCAAUCCCCUGGGCCUGCACUGACGCUCAUGCACGAAAGCGUGGGGAGCAAACAGG
rnacentral:rRNA from 1 species